rnacentral:rRNA from 1 species
UCUUCCCUCUCUCUUCGUGCCUCCUCCCUGCACGUCGAGCGCACGGACGAGAAGCUUGCUUCUCUGAUGUUAGCGGCGGACGGGUGAGUAACACGUGGAUAACCUACCUAUAAGACUGGGAUAACUUCGGGAAACCGGAGCUAAUACCGGAUGAUAUUUUGAACCGCAUGGUUCAAAAGUGAAAGACGGUCUUGCUGUCACUUAUAGAUGGAUCCGCGCUGCAUUAGCUAGUUGGUAAGGUAACGGCUUACCAAGGCAACGAUGCAUAGCCGACCUGAGAGGGUGAUCGGCCACACUGGAACUGAGACACGGUCCAGACUCCUACGGGAGGCAGCAGUAGGGAAUCUUCCGCAAUGGGCGAAAGCCUGACGGAGCAACGCCGCGUGAGUGAUGAAGGUCUUCGGAUCGUAAAACUCUGUGAUUAGGGAAGAACAUAUGUGUAAGUAACUGUGCACAUCUUGACGGUACCUAAUCAGAAAGCCACGGCUAACUACGUG